CAGAAAUCUGGAACUUUGCAGGUCACCAUGGUAGGCAGAAUGGAGAUUGUAGAAUUCUGCAUUGGGUCUUAAGACUUCCCCUUAAAGGUGACACAUAUCCCCUCCACUCACAUUUCAUCUGGAAAAACAAGUCACGUGGUCACAAUGGGCAAAGAAGUGCCCAUGGACCCAGAGGGAGGAGAUUUGGAAUACUAGUGACCAUGUCAAGUGACUACCAUACCAUAUAAAGAAACUUUGCAGGAUUUUUUCACUUUAAUUUAAAGGUUAAAACAUGCAGCUGUGAAAAGUCCUGGGCCUGAUUGCUUCACUGGUGAGUUCUACCAAACAUUUAAAGAACAAAUACCAAUCCUUCUCAAACUUUUCUAAAUAACUGAAGAAGAGGAAACAUUUACUAACUUAUUUAUACAAGAUCAGCAUUAUCCUGAUACGGAAGCCAGACAAAGACACUACAGAAAAGAAAAUUAUAGAUCAAUAUUUCUUAUGAACAUUGAUGCAAAAAUCCUCAACAAAAUACAAGCAAACUGAAUUCAGCAUAGUAAAAAGAUUAUACACCAUGACCAAGUGGGAUUUAUUCCUAGAAUGCCAAGAUGGUUCAACAUAUAAAAAUCAAUCAAUGUAAUAUACCACAUUUACAGAAUAAAGGGAAAAAAACAUAACCAUCUUAAUUGAUGGUGAAAGAGCAUUUGACAAAACUCAACACCCUUUCAUGAUAAACACUCAACAAACUAGUAGUAGAAGGAAAUCACCUCAACACAAUAAAAGCCACAUGUGAAAAACCCCAGUGAACAUCAUACUCAAUGGUGAAAGAUUAAAAUCUUCCCCUCUAAUAUCAAGAACAAGGGAAGGAUGCCCAUUUUCAUCACUUCAAUUCAACAUGGAACUGGAAGUUCUAGCCAGAGCAAUUAGGCAAGAAAAAGAAAUCAAAGGUAUUCAAACUGUAAAGAAAAAAGUAAACAUUUCUUUUUGCAAGUAAUAUAAUCUUAUGUUUGGAAAACGCUAAGGAUUCCACACACAAUAAAAAAGUCUGUUAGAAUAAAUGACUUAAUUACAAAAUUACAAUAAUCAAAACAGUGUGGUACUGACAUAAAGGUAGACAUAUAAAAUGAAAUAGAAUGGAGAACUCAGAAAUACACUUUUGUAUAUAUGGUCAAAUGAUUUUUGACAAGGUUGCCAAGACCAUUCAAUGGAGAAAAGAGAGUCUUUCCAACAAAUGGUGCUGGAAAAACUGGACACCAAUAUGCAAAAGAAUGACAUUACUCUUACUUAAUACUAUGUACAAAAUGACCUCAAAAUGGAUCAAAGAUCGAAACAUAGGACUAAAACUAUAAAGCUGUUAUUAGAAAGCAUAAGGCAAAAGCUUCAUGACAUUGCAUUUGACAGUGAUUUAUUGGCAAUGACACCAAAGUCACAGGCAACAAAAGAAAAAAAAUUGGAUUUCAUGAAAAUGAAAAGUUUUGUUCAUCAAAAGAUAUGAGUGAUAGAAUAAAAAGGCAACCUACGGAAUGAGAAAGAAUAUUUGAAAUCGCAUAUCUAUUAAGGGAUUAAUAUCAAAAUAUAUAUAGAAUUCCUAAAACUUAACAAGAAAAGAAGCAAACAACUAAAUUGAAAGAUUGGAAAAGGACUUGAAUAGACAUUUCUCCAAAGAAGAUAUACAAAUGGCUAAUAAGCACAUGAAAAGAUGUUCAACCUCACUAAAUCAUCAGGGAGAUAUAAUUUGAAACUACAAUGAAUUACCACCUCACACUCAGUAGGAUGACUACUCUCAUGAAAACCCAGAAAAUAUCGUGUUGGUGAGGAUGCAGAGUAACUAGAAUUCUUGUACACUGUUGGUGGGAAUGCGAAAAGUUACAGCGACUGUGGAAAACAGUUCUGGCAGCUCCUCAAAACAUUAAAAAUCAAACUUCCAUAUGGUCCAGCAAUUCCACUUCUGGGUAUGUGCCCAAGAGAAUUGAAAUUAGGGUCUAGGUGCGGUAGCUCACUCCUGCAAUCCCAGCAUUUUGGGAGGCCGAGGUGGGCGGAUCACCUGAGGUCAGGAGUUCGAGACCAGCCUGACCAACAUGAAGAAACCCCGUCUCUACUAAUAAUACAAAAUUAGCCGGCAUGGUAGCGCAUGCCUGUAAUCCUAGCUACUCGGGAGGCUGAGGCAGGAGAGUAGCUUGAACCCGGGAGGCGGAGGUUGCGGUGAGCCAAGAUCACACCAUUGCACUCCAGCCUGGGCAAGGAGAGUGAGACUCUGUCUCAAAAAAAAGAAAAAAUAAAAAGAAUUGAAAUUAGGGUCUUGAAGAGAUACUUGUACACCCAUGUUCAAAGCAGCAUUAUUCACAAUAGCUAAAACAUGGAGACAACUCUAGCUUCUACUGACAGAUGAACAUAAUACACUCCAUCAGACUAUGCUGUCGAAAUUUACAAGGUCACCCCUGCUGGGCUUUCUUCCAUCUACCUCCUCUGCCACCUUCAAACACAGGCAUCUGCACAAGAGGGAUAGUGUCUGAAUUUUUUUCAUAGGUUAAUAGGCAAUUAGACAUGGAACUUGCACACAUUAUUUAUUUUUAAAACUGAAAAGGACCUCACAUGCUAUGGCAGGCACCUACUAGUUGUCCUCGGAUAUCUACCCCUCCCUAACACACACAUCGCAGUUGUACAUGACAACUACUGGACAUGACGUGACAGCCAUUUCUCACCUCUCUCCCAGUGAGGUGUGACCAUGUGACUACAUUCUGGUCAAAGGGGUAUGAGUGAAGGCCACGUGUCACUUUUAGAUCAUGCCUCUAAAGGAGGGGGUGUGUCUUCCCCUUGGUCCUUUCCCUUCUCUCACUGGCUGGUGUGUGGACAUGAGUGUGGGCACUGGAGCAGCAGACUCAACCACAGGGUGAGCACAGUGGAGCAACAAGAUAGCAAGAACCUGGGUCCCUGAAACUAUGAAGUUCCCACCCAGCUCUUAGAGUGUGUACGCCAACAUUGUACGUGGAAGAAAUAAAUGUUUGUAAUGAAGUUUGACCCAGGUCAGAUGGGUCAAAUCUCACUUUAAAAUGAAGAAACUGAGGCCAAAGAGAUUAAAAGGCAUGCCCAGGGUCAUACAGCCAUCCCC
rnacentral:lncRNA from 1 species